rnacentral:lncRNA from 1 species
UAGCUGAUGGACGGUGGGAUGCAGAACUUAGAUAUACAGUACAGGUAAAGGCAUUAACUAAACAAAUUUAUUGAAGGGUCACAAAAGGUUAUUUACUUCUGCCAUUAACAGAAAUGAGCUCAAUGUCAUUAACAGAAAUGAGCUCAAUUGCUCAGUAGGGAAUAUCAAGUCUCUCGCUUUCAUGUUUACUAUUUAUCACCCCAUAACAGUUUCCACAGUGCAAGCAGUUAAUUGUGUUCCAUGGUGGCUUUAAAACUACAGGCAAUUGCAGUAAAGCUGGAUCGUUAAGAGAUGUACUGAUAAGGUAAUUACUAAUGAGAUCUCAAAAAAAUUAUCACCACAUCAUGGUUGGAUUUGUUCAUUUCCUUGCCGCAGGACAUUGACCAAUCUUACCUGCCAAAAGAAGCACUAGAGCUAUACAACAAGGAACCCUCUGGAGUAAAAAUUGCCGAAUUAAUGUCACAGAAGCUAACACAUAAACAGACAAAAUUCUUGGCUUUGGAAGAAAUGUGAAAAGAAGGCACAAGUCACCUGUCAUGUAUAACAUCUAAUGACAAAGAACGUACUAUCAUACUUUACAAGUAACUAACGUGCAUUCUGAAAUGGGUUUGUCUCAAGAAGCCAUCUUUGUGCAAAAUGUUGAAAGCAUGCAAAUUUAAUGAACAUGACAAUUGUAGCAACUGAACAUUUUAGCAGCAAAUAGGUACAAUUUCCUUCCUGAAACCCUAUGACAUUUGCCCCUUUUAAUCUCAGUUGCUGUUUCCUCAACACACAUCAGUAAUCCUUCCAGCAGCCUCCAGAACGCUACUUAGAAACUAGCAGGGCACCUUAUUCUCUGUACGAUUUAGUUCUAAAGGUUCAUCUCAUUCUCCCCCACCUAAUAGUGUUCAACUUUAUCCUUUCCACAGCAUUUGUUCUUUCUUAGCAUAGUACCCAUAUAGCUAGCUUUCCUCAGUCCCGUGAAGAAAAAAACAUUUUGUGCUAACUCUUAAGUGUGAUUAAGGAAUAGUUUGUGGUUUGAAAAUGAACCUCUUCUAGAAACGAAGAUGACAGAAAUGCAAAGAAUGAAGGGAAAUUCAAGUUCAGGAGAAAUAAAGGUAGCAAUGUUAAAAGGUAAUAUUUAAGG